rnacentral:rRNA from 1 species
UACGUAGGGUGCAAGCGUUGUCCGGAAUUAUUGGGCGUAAAGAGCUCGUAGGCGGUUUGUCGCGUCUGCUGUGAAAACUCGGGGCUUAACCCUGGGCCUGCAGUGGGUACGGGCAGACUAGAGUGCGGUAGGGGAGACUGGAAUCCCUGGUGUAGCGGUGAAAUGCGCAGAUAUCAGGAGGAACACCGGUGGCGAAGGCGGGUCUAUGGGCCGUAACUGACGCUGAGGAGCGAAAGCGUGGGGAGCGAACAGG